UACGUAGGGGGCAAGCGUUGUCCGGAUUCAUUGGGCGUAAAAAGCGUGUAGGCGGCCAGGUAGGUCGGUUGUGAAAACUGGAGGCUCAACCUUCAGAGGUCGACCGAAACCAUCUGGCUAGAGUCCGGGAGAGGAGAGUGGAAUUCCUGGUGUAGCGGUGAAAUGCGCAGAUAUCAGGAAGAACACCCGUGGCGAAAGCGGCCCUCUGGAACGGUACUGACGCUGAGACGCGAAAGCGUGGGGAGCGAACAGG
rnacentral:rRNA from 1 species